UAUUGGACAAUGGGCGCAAGCCUGAUCCAGCAAUGCCGCGUGAGUGAAGAAGGCCUUAGGGUUGUAAAGCUCUUUUGCCCGGGAAGAUAAUGACGGUACCGGGAGAAUAAGCCCCGGCUAACUCCGUGCCAGCAGCCGCGGUAAUACGGAGGGGGCUAGCGUUGUUCGGAAUUACUGGGCGUAAAGCGUACGUAGGCGGAUCUGCAAGUUGGGGGUGAAAUCCCGGGGCUUAACCCCGGAAUUGCCCUCAAAACUGUGGAUCUUGAGACCGAGAGAGGUAAGGGGAAUUCCGAGUGUAGAGGUGAAAUUCGUAGAUAUUCGGAAGAACACCAGUGGCGAAGGCGCCUUACUGGCUCGGACCUGACGCUGAGGUACGAAAGCGGGGGGAGCAAACAGG
rnacentral:rRNA from 1 species